rnacentral:rRNA from 1 species
GGUUAAGCGACUAAGCGUACACGGUGGAUGCCUAGGCAGUCAGAGGCGAUGAAGGGCGUGCUAAUCUGCGAUAAGCGUCGGUAAGCUGAUAUGAAGCGUUAUACCCGACGAUACCCGAAUGGGGGAAACCCAGUGUGUUUCGACACACUAUCAUUAUGUGAAUACAUAGCGUAAUGAGGCGAACCGGGGAACUGAAACAUCUCAGUACCCCGAGGAAAAGAAAUCAACCGAGAUUCCCCUAGUAGCGGCGAGCGAACGGGGAGGAGCCCAGAACCUGAAUCAGUUUGUGUGUUAGUGGAAGCGUCUGGAAAGUCGCACAGUAAAGGGUGAUAGUCCCGUACACAAAAAUGCACAAAUUGUGAGUUCGAUGAGUAGGGCGGGACACGUGACAUCCUGUCUGAAUAUGGGGGACCAUCCUCCAAGGCUAAAUACUCCUGACUGACCGAUAGUGAACCAGUACCGUGAGGGAAAGGCGAAAAGAACCCCGGCGAGGGUGAAAUAGAACCUGAAACCGUGUACGUACAAGCAGUGGGAGCCUUGAUUAAUCAGGGUGACUGCGUACCUUUUGUAUAAUGGGUCAGCGACUUAUAUUCUGUAGCAAGGUUAACCGUAUAGGGAGCCGUAGGGAAACCGAGUCUUAACUGGGCGUUAAGUUGCAGGGUAUAGACCCGAAACCCGUGAUUCAGCCAUGGGCAGGUUGAAGGUUGGGUAACACUAACUGGAGGACCGAACCGACUAAUGUUGAAAAAUUAGCGGAUGACUUGUGGCUGGGGUGAAAGGCCAAUCAAACCGGGAGAUAGCUGGUUCUCCCCGAAAGCUAUUUAGGUAGCGCCUCGUGAAUUCAUCUUCGGGGUAGAGCACUGUUUCGGCUAGGGGGUCAUCCCGACUUACCAACCCGAUGCAAACUACGAAUACCGAAGAAUGUUAUCACGGGAGACACACGGCGGGUGCUAACGUUCGUCGUGAAGAGGGAAACAACCCAGACCGCCAGCUAAGGUCCCAAAGUCAUGGUUAAGUGGGAAACGAUGUGGGAAGGCACAGACAGCCGGAUGUUGGCUUAGAAGCAGCCAUCAUUUAAAGAAAGCGUAAUAGCUCACUGGUCGAGUCGGCCUGCGCGGAAGAUGUAACGGGGCUAAACCAUGCACCGAAGCUGCGGCAGCGACACUUAGGUGUUGUUGGGUAGGGGAGCGUUCUGUAAGCCGUCGAAGGUGGCCUGUGAGGGUUGCUGGAGGUAUCAGAAGUGCGAAUGCUGACAUAAGUAACGAUAAUGCGGGUGAAAAACCCGCACGCCGGAAGACCAAGGGUUCCUGUCCAACGUUAAUCGGGGCAGGGUGAGUCGACCCCUAAGGCGAGGCUGAAAAGCGUAGUCGAUGGGAAACAGGUUAAUAUUCCUGUACUCGGUGUUACUGCGAAGGGGGACGGAGAAAGCUAGGUUAUCCGGGCGACGGUUGUCCCGGUUUAAGCGUGAAGGUGGAUGACUUUGGUAAAUCCGGGUCGUCAUUAACACUGAGGCGUGAUGACGAGUCACUACGGUGAUGAAGUAACCAAUGCUACGCUUCCAGGAAAAGCCUCUAAGCUCCGGGUAACAUCAAAUCGUACCCCAAACCGACACAGGUGGUCAGGUAGAGAAUACUCAGGCGCUUGAGAGAACUCGGGUGAAGGAACUAGGCAAAAUGGUGCCGUAACUUCGGGAGAAGGCACGCUGAUGGUAGGUGAAGUGACUUGCUCACGGAGCUGAAAUCAGUCGAAGAUACCAGCUGGCUGCAACUGUUUAAUAAAAACACAGCACUGUGCAAACACGAAAGUGGACGUAUACGGUGUGACGCCUGCCCGGUGCCGGAAGGUUAAUUGAUGGGGUCAGCCGCAAGGCGAAGCUCUUGAUCGAAGCCCCGGUAAACGGCGGCCGUAACUAUAACGGUCCUAAGGUAGCGAAAUUCCUUGUCGGGUAAGUUCCGACCUGCACGAAUGGCGUAAUGAUGGCCGUGCUGUCUCCACCCGAGACUCAGUGAAAUUGAACUCGCUGUGAAGAUGCAGUGUACCCGCGGCAAGACGGAAAGACCCCGUGAACCUUUACUAUAGCUUGACACUGAACCUUGAGCCUUGAUGUGUAGGAUAGGUGGGAGGCUUUGAAGCGUGGACGCCAGUCUGCGUGGAGCCAACCUUGAAAUACCACCCUUUAAUGUUUGAUGUUCUAACGUGGGCCCGUGAUCCGGGUUGCGGACAGUGUCUGGUGGGUAGUUUGACUGGGGCGGUCUCCUCCCAAAGCGUAACGGAGGAGCACGAAGGUUAGCUAAUCUGGUCGGACAUCAGGAGGUUAGUGCAAAGGCAUAAGCUAGCUUGACUGCGAGAGUGACAGCUCGAGCAGGUGCGAAAGCAGGUCUUAGUGAUCCGGUGGUUCUGAAUGGAAGGGCCAUCGCUCAACGGAUAAAAGGUACUCGGGGAUAACAGGCUGAUACCGCCCAAGAGUUCAUAUCGACGGCGGUGUUUGGCACCUCGAUGUCGGCUCAUCACAUCCUCGGGGCUGAAGUAGGUCCCAAGGGUAUGGCUGUUCGCCAUUUAAAGUGGUACGCGAGCUGGGUUUAGAACGUCGUGAGACAGUUCGGUCCCUAUCUGCCGUGGGCGUUGGAAGAUUGAGAGGGGUUGCUCCUAGUACGAGAGGACCGGAGUGAACGCACCACUGGUGUUCGGGUUGUGAUGCCAAUUGCAUUGCCCGGUAGCUAAGUGCGGAAGAGAUAACCGCUGAAAGCAUCUAAGCGGGAAACUUGCCUCGAGAUGAGUCUUCCCCUGGCACUAGAUGCCCCUGAAGGGCCGUUGAAGACUACGACGUAGAUAGGCUGGGUGUGUAAGCGUAGCGAUACGUUGAGCUAACCAGUACUAAUGACCCGAGAGGCUUAACCUU